GGGAAUGUAGCUCAGUGGUAGAGUGUUUGCCUAGCAUGUGCAAGGCUCUGGGUUUGAUGCCAAGCUUCCUG
rnacentral:tRNA from 1 species